GAGUUUGAUCGUGGCUCAGAGUGAACGCUGGCGGUAGGCCUAACACGUGCAAGUCGAACGGUAACAGGUCUUUCGGGAUGCUGACGAGUGGCGGACGGGUGAGGAAUACAUCGGAAUCUGCUCAGUCGUGGGGGAUAACGCAUGGAAACGUGCGCUAAUACCGCAUACGACCUUCGGGUGAAAGCAGGGGAAUCUCUCGGGAUCCUUGCGCGAUUGAAUGAGCCGAUGUCGGAUUAGCUAGUUGGUAGGGUAAAAGCCUACCAAGGCCACGAUCCGUAGCUGGUCUGAGAGGAUGAUCAGCCACACUGGGACUGAGACACGGCCCAGACUCCUGCGGGAGGCAGCAGUGGGGAAUAUUGGACAAUGGGGGCAACCCUGAUCCAGCCAUACCGCGUGGGUGAAGAAGGCCUUCUGGGUUGUAAAGCCCUUUUGUUGGGGAAGAAAAACAACGGGUUAAUACCCCGUUGUAUGACGGUACCCAAAGAAUAAGCACCGGCUAACUUCGUGCCAGCAGCCGCGGUAAUACGAAGGGUGCAAGCGUUACUCGGAAUUACUGGGCGUAAAGGGUGCGUAGGUGGUUGCGCCAGUCUGUCGUGAAAGCCCUGGGCUUAACCUGGGAAUGGCGAUGGAAACUGUGCAACUAGAGUGUGACAGAGGGUGGUGGAAUUCCUGGUGUAGCAGUGAAAUGCGUAGAGAUCAGGAGGAACAUUCGUGGCGAAGGCGGCCACCUGGGUCAACACUGACACUGAGGCACGAAAGCGUGGGGAGCAAACAGGAUUAGAUACCCUGGUAGUCCACGCCCUAAACGAUGCGAACUGGAUGUUGGGUCCAACUUGGGAUUCAGUAUCGAAGCUAACGCGUUAAGUUCGCCGCCUGGGGAGUACGGUCGCAAGACUGAAACUCAAAGGAAUUGACGGGGGCCCGCACAAGCGGUGGAGUAUGUGGUUUAAUUCGAUGCAACGCGCAGAACCUUACCUGGCCUUGACAUGCACGGAACCUUU
rnacentral:rRNA from 1 species